GACCGCUCCGGUGGCCUAGUGGUUAGAGCGUCUGCUUCUGAUGCGGAAGGUGGGUUCGAUCCCUGGUUGAGUCA